AUUGAACGCUGGCGGCAGGCCUAACACAUGCAAGUCGAGCGAGCGGCGGACGGGUGAGUAAUGUAUGGGGACUGCCCGAUAGAGGGGGAUAACUACUGGAAACGGUGGCUAAUACCGCAUACUAUCGGAUAACCCAUAUGGGAUUAGCUAGGAGGUGGGGUAAAGGCACACCUAGGCGACGAUCUCUAGCUGGUCUGAGAGGAUGAUCAGCAACACGGGGACUGAGACAGGGCCCAGACUCCUACGGGGGCAGCGGUGGGGAAUAUUGCACAAUGGGCGCAAGCCUAAUGCAGCCAUGCCGGGUGUAUGAAGAAGGCCUGAGGGUUGUAAAGUACUUUCAGCGGGGAGGCGUUACCCGCAGAAGAAGCACCGGCUAACUCCGUGCCAGCAGCCGCGUUAUUC
rnacentral:rRNA from 1 species